GACGAACGCUGGCGGCGUGCUUAGCACAUGCAAGUCGAACGGAAAGGCUCCAGCUUGCUGGAGUACUCGAGUGGCGAACGGGUGAGUAACACGUGGGUAAUCUGCCCUGCACUCUGGGAUAAGCCUGGGAAACUGGGUCUAAUACUGGAUAUGACCUUUCUCCUUAUGGGGUUUGGUGGAAAGUUUUUCGGUGUAGGAUUAGCCCGCGGCCUAUCAGCUUGUUGGUGGGGUGAUGGCCUACCAAGGCGACGACGGGUAGCCGGCCUGAGAGGGUGAUCGGCCACAUUGGGACUGAGAUACGGACCAGACUCCUACGGGAGGCAGCAGUGGGGAAUAUUGCACAAUGGGCGGAAGCCUGAUGCAGCGACGCCGCGUGAGGGAUGACGGCCUUCGGGUUGUAAACCUCUUUCAGCAGGGACGAAGCGUAAGUGACGGUACCUGCAGAAGAAGCACCGGCUAACUAUGUG
rnacentral:rRNA from 1 species